rnacentral:rRNA from 1 species
GACAGAGGAUGCAAGCGUUAUCCGGAAUGAUUGGGCGUAAAGCGUCUGUAGGUGGCUUUUUAAGUCUGCCGUCAAAUCCCAGGGCUUAACCCUGGACAGGCGGUGGAAACUACCAAGCUGGAGUACGGUAGGGGCAGAGGGAAUUCCCAGUGUAGCGGUGAAAUGCGUAGAUAUUGGGAAGAACACCGGUGGCGAAAGCGCUCUGCUGGACCUGCACUGACACUGAGGGACGAAAGCUAGGGGAGCGAAAGGG